rnacentral:lncRNA from 1 species
GGGACAGGGGUCCAUGAGGGAAAGGGGUCCAUGAGGGAGGGGGGGGGUCUGAGAUGGGGGUCCAUGAAGGACAGGGGUCCAUGAGGGAAGAAGUCCAUGGGGAAGGGGCUCUGAGGCGGCUCCAAGCGCUCGCUGGACAUACGCUAAUUAAGCGGUGCCGCUCCUCUGUGAGGCAGCUAAAGGACACAGGAGACCCUUCAGCCCGCAUCGGGGGGACAACACCCGUUUCGGCAGCACAGAAAAAUGCUGCAAAGGACAGAAACCGAGUCCUGGCAGCUGAAAUCAAGCAAAUCAGGGAGGCUCUUCGUGCCGCGCUGGGGCACCGAGCGGGAGCGAACGCUGCAUGGGGUUUCGAGCCGAGCGCCGCGCGGCCUUGCUUCGGGGUGGACGUCCUCCAAAUCCCAGCUCCAAGUGUGCGCCAGCUGACCAGCAGCGCGAGGGGAAGUGACCCCAUCCCUCCCCCUAACAUCGGAGCUCUUCCGAAGCCGGAGCGUCAUGCCGAGAGCCUUGCUGGGAUGGAUUUUCGGAUGCAGAGAUCGCUGCCGGCUCAUUGGGGUGAUCGCAAUGAGGACGACCGACGGGAGCGGAGCGAGAGGAUGAGCACAGGAGCACCAGGAACAGGCGGAGAGAGAAAGCACARAGAGCUGGAAGGAAACUCACUUUUCAGGAGAAAACAGCUGAAAGGCGUACGCGUGACUCACUCGAGGAGGGCUGUUUGUUUUGGGACACGUCCCUCCAGCUGCUUCUCUUUCUCGGGCGUUUCUGUAYGCGCUGAUGUUUCUGUGUACUACAAAAUAAAGCGUCUGCAAAUACGAGGCGAUGCUAGUUGCUUUUUUGGUGCCAGCUAGUUUAAAAGUCUGUUUUACAGCCCAGUCUGACAGAAGCGCAUAAUCCCAGUCAGCCCGGCCAGCACAAACGUGAGAGGUCGCGUUUUGCAGCUAUUUGGGUAGUUGAGUUACUCGGGUCGUUCCUCCCCCCGGGUCAUUCCCCGAAAAGCCCCGACACUAGACUCCAGCUCAGCGCCCGUGUCGUUAAUUGAACGUUGCCGAGACCCGUGCUCAGAACGCCUUACGAGCCUCCCUCGGCGCCCCAAAAAUUAAUUCUCACUGCAGUGAGGGAGACUAUCGAUUUCUGCUGUCUCACAACAAAAACCGC